rnacentral:rRNA from 1 species
UGGGGAAUAUUGCACAAUGGGCGCAAGCCUGAUGCAGCCAUGCCGCGUGUGUGAAGAAGGCCUUCGGGUUGUAAGCACUUUCAGCGAGGAGGAAGGGUUCAGUGUUAAUAGCACUGUUCAUUGACGUUACUCGCAGAAGAAGCACCGGCUAACUCCGUGCCAGCAGCCGCGGUAAUACGGAGGGUGCAAGCGUUAAUCGGAAUUACUGGGCGUAAAGCGCACGCAGGCGGUUUGUUAAGUCAGAUGUGAAAUCCCCGCGCUUAACGU